GAUGAACGCUGGCGGCGUGCCUAAUACAUGCAAGUCGAGCGAACAGACGAGGAGCUUGCUCCUCUGACGUUAGCGGCGGACGGGUGAGUAACACGUGGAUAACCUACCUAUAAGACUGGGAUAACUUCGGGAAACCGGAGCUAAUACCGGAUAAUAUAUUGAACCGCAUGGUUCAAUAGUGAAAUACGGUUUUGCUGUCACUUAUAGAUGGAUCCGCGCCGCAUUAGCUAGUUGGUAAGGUAACGGCUUACCAAGGCAACGAUGCGUAGCCGACCUGAGAGGGUGAUAGGCCACACUGGAACUGAGACACGGUCCAGACUCCUACGGGAGGGAGCAGUAGGGAAUCUUACGCAAUGGGCGAAAGCCUGACAGAGCAACGCCGCGUGAGUGAUGAAGGUCUUCGGAUCGUAAAACUCUGUUAUUAGGGAAGAACAAAUGUGUAAGUAACUAUGCACGUCUUGACGGUACCUAAUCAGAAAGCCACGGCUAACUACGUG
rnacentral:rRNA from 1 species